rnacentral:misc_RNA from 1 species
GGAGAACUACUCAUAGGAUGUUAUUUUGUCACUACAAUCCACUCAAAGAAACACUGUGAUCAAGUUCAAUAGAACAGGUAAUGAAUAAAAAAUUCAAUAGAACAGUGAACAUAAAAUUCAUUUCACGGCAUUUUGUUACAUUAUUGUCUGGCAAACAUACACAAAGUGAAUUGUUGAAAUGUACUGGACUUAUCAAUAUGAUGAUGAGGUCGGAAUUUUAUGACAUUGAAUUGAAACGAUUUUGAUCCAGUAGCACACAUCAAAGAGGCACAACAACUGAACAGUGAUCUUAGUAAUGAGAGGCUUUGAAGACGGUGAGCAGCAAGAGGAAGAGAUUAAUGAUGUCCACGUACAAAGACACUGCGGCCCAAAUGUAUUUGUCAUAAGAGUAGCUCUUAAUAAUUAGGCUGUCUGUGACGCACACAAUGUAGCAGCAGAAUGUGAUUGAACCAAAGCACCCAUACAUCAUGACAAAUAUUCUAUCCAUUGGAAAAACAAUCUGUACCAAACCAAACACCACAACUAUGGCAAUGGCAACGAACAAGAAGGGGCGUAGGAAGUCAAAAUCAUGGCCUCUGCUUGCUGCCCAGAAUGUGUACAGAGUAAGAUUCACAACCAUCGCAGUUGCCAGAAUCGCACUUUGAAGAAUAACGUCCCCACUGGCAACUGCACAUGUCAAUCCAACCAAAAACCCGAAAGCAGUGGUUAAUACCCAAAAGAGAAGAAAACUGGCCAAGUCGGAGCAGCACAACAGACACAAUGCUGCAUUAUUUCUCACAUCAAAAUCAAAAUCCUGCAACACUCAAAAGCCACGGAAACAAAAAGCACUUGCUAUCUUACACCUACCUGUGAUUGCCGUUAUGCUGAUGCCUAAGUAGAAAGGUAAUCCAGCAUUACUACUCACAAUAAAGUAGACCAAGGAAUGAAUUGACAUGAUUACUGUGGCCGCCCCAAUAAUUGUCAGGAGCAAUUGAAUGGCUACGAUCAAGUAGACUUUGCAAAUGAAUACCUGCUGGAGGUCAGGACUUUCCAACAUUGCUGCAGAUUCCCCCGCCUCCACAUCUCUACACUCUUGAGGCUGCAGACACAUUUUCAAAGAGUUUUUGGAUUUCAAUAUUUGGUUUGGAGUUUACUUAUGCAUUUCCCCUUAUUGGGAAGUAAGGAAAAUUGACUUUAAUUUAAAGACAUUCUCGCUUUAAUCCUUGGGGUUUAUACUCCUACGAAAAAAGUCUAAAACGUUAUUAAGUGAAGGCCAACUCUAUUAGCCUAAUCUGAGACCACCCUACUCAUGAAAAAUUGAAUGGAAUUUUAUUAAUACAAUUGCUGAAACCUCCCUUCUUUAAAUCCCUCGCCUGUUCCGCCGAAAAUUAAAAACCUACCGCUCAAGAAUUGGAACACCGAACACCUGUGCUUUUGCUUCUUUCUCUUUUUGACUUGGGAUGCGAGCAAUGGCUCACUCUCACUGUGAGCCACUAGCUAGUAUCUAGGGGUUCAUAACAUGUUAUGUUAAAUAAUUCUUAAGAUUUUUUUUGUACCCAACUCAGCAUUAAUAUUAGGGAGAACCUAAUUCUGUAGCCACUCUCUCUCUACUGGUUAUAGAGAGAUUUUCAUCUGAAAUUGCUUCCUCUCCCUCAGGCACUCGGCCUCCUUUGCUUUGCCGUCAAGCGGUCUACCCUGGCCCAUCUGGGCAGGGGACUUCCCUUCCUUGUCCAGUUAAGUGGGUCGCCCUCCUCACGGCAACCAGUCUCUCAAUGGCUAUAACCCACAGGAGUUAAGAGAGCUCUGUCUUGCCACCCGUUAGUGUCCCUUGUUCAGAUCACGCUCUAAACUAGGUUGUGUGUUUCUCGGUGCUCUUAAGGUCAUUCUAGCAACUCGACCUCCUGGAGAAGUGUUAUGGAAGGAAUCGACCGUUAAGUCUUGACGUCAGUUUUUCCUCUCACCCGUUUGCCUCGUCUUCUCUGGGAUGUCUGCCUGGGUUUCGGCUGCGGAGAUGCAGCGCUGCAUCUGCUGGGAAUCGGUUGUUCCUCUCAUGUGGGUCGUGUCUUGAGAUAGGGUUGGGUUUGGUUUUAGUUGGGUCUCCAACGAUUUGUUGUAAUGGGUUGGGUUGC